rnacentral:rRNA from 1 species
GAUGAACGCUGGCGGCGUGCCUAAUACAUGCAAGUAGAACGCUGAAGGAAGGAGCUUGCUCUUUCCGGAUGAGUUGCGAACGGGUGAGUAACGCGUAGGUAACCUGCCUGGUAGCGGGGGAUAACUAUUGGAAACGAUAGCUAAUACCGCAUAACAGUAGAUGUUGCAUGAUAUCUACUUAAAAGGUGCAAUUGCACCACUACCAGAUUGACCUGCGUUGUAUUAGCUAGUUGGUGAGGUAACGGCUCACCAAGGCGACGAUACAUAGCCGACCUGAGAGGGUGAUCGGCCAAACUGGGACUGAGACAAGGCCCAGACUCCUACGGGAGGCAGCAGUAGGGAAUCUUCGGCAAUGGACGGAAGUCUGACCGAGCAACGCCGCGUGAGUGAAGAAGGUUUUCGGAUCGUAAAGCUCUGUUGUAAGAGAAGAACGAGUGGGAGAGUGGAAAGUUCACACUGUGACGGUAUCUUACCAGAAAGGGACGGCUAACUACGUG